AUUGAACGCUGGCGGCAUGCUUUACACAUGCAAGUCGAACGGUAACAGGCCGCAAGGUGCUGACGAGUGGCGAACGGGUGAGUAAUGCAUCGGAACGUGCCCAGUCGUGGGGGAUAACUACUCGAAAGAGUAGCUAAUACCGCAUACGAUCUAUGGAUGAAAGCGGAGGACCGUAAGGCCUCGCGCGAUUGGAGCGGCCGAUGUCAGAUUAGGUAGUUGGUGGGGUAAAGGCUCACCAAGCCAACGAUCUGUAGCUGGUCUGAGAGGACGACCAGCCACACUGGGACUGAGACACGGCCCAGACUCCUACGGGAGGCAGCAGUGGGGAAUUUUGGACAAUGGGCGCAAGCCUGGUCCAGCAAUGCCGCGUGCAGGAAGAAGGCCUUCGGGUUGUAAACUGCUUUUGUACGGAACGAAACGGCUCUGGUUAAUACCCGGGGCUAAUGACGGUACCGUAAGAAUAAGCACCGGCUAACUACGUG
rnacentral:rRNA from 1 species